GAUGAGCGCUAGCGGCAGGCUUAACACAUGCAAGUCGAGGGGCAGCAUAAUGGAUAGCAAUAUCUAUGGUGGCGACCGGCGCACGGGUGCGUAACGCGUAUGCAACCUACCUUUAACAGGGGGAUAACACUGAGAAAUUGGUACUAAUACCCCAUAAUAUCAUAGAAGGCAUCUUUUAUGGUUGAAAAUUCCGAUGGUUAGAGAUGGGCAUGCGUUGUAUUAGCUAGUUGGUGGGGUAACGGCUCACCAAGGCGACGAUACAUAGGGGGACUGAGAGGUUAACCCCCCACACUGGUACUGAGACACGGACCAGACUCCUACGGGAGGCAGCAGUGAGGAAUAUUGGUCAAUGGACGCAAGUCUGAACCAGCCAUGCCGCGUGCAGGAUGACGGCUCUAUGAGUUGUAAACUGCUUUUGUACGAGGGUAAACGCAGAUACGUGUAUCUGUCUGAAAGUAUCGUACGAAUAAGGAUCGGCUAACUCCGUG
rnacentral:rRNA from 1 species